GACGAGGAAAGGGGGUGCUUUGUGAUGAGUGAUUAGGAAAACAUAUGGGCGAGAACAUAAUAUGCCAACAAAAGAUCAUAUUUCAAAACGCUAUAGGGCUUCUGAGAUCAAAGUGGAAAUUGAAACAGAAAGUGAACAAACAUACGAACCUAUUUUGAACGUUGGAGAUGAAAAUAUCGAAGAAAGCGAGCGUCGCGAACAGUUUAUGAUCGAGGCAUAAGAGGACGAAGGGCGAAGACAUUUAUCGCAACUAGACGAUGCAACCGCAGAGGAUUUAUACAACUUUGAUGUGUCUGUUGCUCUAACGGAAAUACAGUUAGACGAAACAGACGCUGAAUUCACCGAAGCUAUACAAGAAAUUGAUGGCGAGAGGGGUUUUCCUUUUAGUCAGUGAGAGAUAGUGUGCAAGUCUAUAAAGUAAAGGGAGAGACAAAACUCGUGCUGCGUUGACUAUUAGAGGACGUGGUUUGAUUAUAUUACACCGAUUCAGGUCAGUUUGGCUACUGUUUCCUCUACUGAUGCUUUGUUCGAUGCUUUGCAUGGCCACUUUACACAACAUUCUGUCCAAGGAACAAUCAAGACAAACUUUUAGAAUGUUUUUAUAUGGCUUGAUUCCUCGUUUGUGUGAGCAGCUAUAAAAUUGUGAGAACUAUAAAGUAGCAAAUAUAUUCCUGAGCAUAUUUGAUCGGAUUUUUAUAAAACACUACACCAGCAAAAUGUCGGCAUUGUUGGAAAAUGCUGUGAUUUUUCGUGAAGUUCAACCCUCGAACUCUGCACAGAAACUGUACGGAAAAUAUAGUUAAACUUUAUUUAACAGUCGGAGCAUUUUCCUACACCAGAGACUUUAUUACUAUUAAAGAUGCGGCAUGUACAGUCCAAUCUGUGCAUGUGCACACAAGAGUCCCCUUUUUAUUUACAAACAGUUUAGUAAGGUUUUUAUUUCAUUUUAUGUUCUUGCAAAGCUUGAUUGUUGUCUCUUGAUAAUUUCUAGAAUCAUGAAAAUAUAACUAGUUGUGGAAUAAAAUUCAAUAUUUUGGAUACCGAAAUGUAAACAAAGCCUUUGUUUACAUACGGACUGUACCGCAUCUUUAAAGUAUAGCAUUAUUAAAUUAAUGAAAGGCAGUCAAAGAAAAGGCAUUGAGUGAUUGAGAAAGGGGAUGCGAUAACAUAUAAAACUUGAUAAACUUCUUAAUUGUUAAUGAUUGUCAGAAGUUCAGAACACUGUUUCCAUAAUUCAAUAAUUUUAUCAUAUAUUAUACAAUAAUAUUGUAUAUUUAAUUAAACCUUAUUGGCUGGUCGAAAUAGAAGUGAUUUGAUUAUGGUAAUCUGCCACCAUUCAGUACAGCCCUGCCCCACAGUAGGCGGAUCACACCACACUAAGGGGACGAUUACAUGGAGCACUUUUAACCACAGGUUUGAACUCGACCAUGUUUACAUAACUGGGUUGAAUAUUUUGCGAUUACAUGGACAAUCUCAACCCCAGGGUUGAAAUGCUAUACAUUCCCGGAAGUGAAAACAAAAACCAGCCUCAUCAAAUGCUUGAGUAACUCAUGAAUAAUUUCAGCCCUGGGUUGAAACGAUUACAUGAUAAAAUUUUCAACCCAAGGCGAAGUCCAACCUGGGGUUGAAAUUUAUAACUCUGCUAGCUGAAGCGGGGUUGAACUUGGCCCUGAAUUGAAAAUUUUGAAAUCGUGCAUUUGAUUUUGAUAGCAUUUUGUAUUACAGACAAGGGCGAGGGUUCAGCCCAGGCCUCGUAGUAGGUCCCAUCUGUAGGAGACAACCCCAGGGUUGAAAAUGCUCCAUGUAAUCAGCCCCUAAUUAACCCAUUAAAACUUUGAUGUACCCUGAUUUGACUUUAUUUCUGUUGAAUACCAGAUAAUAUAAUAUCAUGGCCUUUAAUUCACCAAUCUUGGUAUGAAAAUCGAGUGACCACAAAAAAUAUUUACAUGCAAUAUACCACUUUUGGAACAAAACAACUUAAACAAGCAUAGACCAUUUUCAUAUGAUAGUGAAAAACUUAAAGAUUUUUUUUGCAUUUUAAAUUGCUUUUUGAGCCUUGGACCUCCUAGGUUAUCUUGAAUUUCUUCUACUUUCCAUAUUUGCAUAUUAUCUAAAUCUGCCAUCAGUUUUAAUUUCAAUACUGGACACACCAGCCACCUCGCCAGCCACUGAACUAACGUGUGUAA